UACGGAGGGGGCUAGCGUUGUUCGGAAUUACUGGGCGUAAAGCGUACGUAGGCGGCUUUGUAAGUUAGAGGUGAAAGCCCGGGGCUCAACCCCGGAACUGCCUUUAAGACUGCAUCGCUUGAAUCGCGGAGAGGUGAGUGGAAUUCCGAGUGUAGAGGUGAAAUUCGUAGAUAUUCGGAAGAACACCAGUGGCGAAGGCGGCUCACUGGACGCGUAUUGACGCUGAGGUACGAAAGCGUGGGGAGCAAACAGG
rnacentral:rRNA from 1 species